UACGGAGGGAGCUAGCGUUGUUCGGAAUUACUGGGCGUAAAGCGCACGUAGGCGGCUUUGUAAGUUAGAGGUGAUAGCCUGGAGCUCAACUCCAGAAUUGCCUUUAAGACUGCAUCGCUUGAAUCCAGGAGAGGUGAGUGGAAUCCCGAGUGUAGAGGUGAAAUUCGUAGAUAUUCGGAAGAACACCAGUGGCGAAGGCGUCUCACUGGACUGGUAUUGACGCUGAGGUGCGAAAGCGUGGGGAGCAAACAGGAUU
rnacentral:rRNA from 1 species